GCGGAUGUGGCGGAACUGGCAGACGCGCAGGCUUCAGGUGCCUGUGGGGGCAACCCCGUGGAGGUUCGACUCCUCUCAUCCGCA
rnacentral:tRNA from 1 species